GUAGAGGGACAGACGACCGCCGCGUGCGGUGUCACGACGUGGCGCCGUUCGGGGAGGAAAGUCCGAACUCCAGAGGGCAGUGCGCCGGGUAAUCCCCGGUCAGGGCGACCUGAAGGAAAGUGGCACAGAAAACAUACCGCCUCUCGACGAAGCUCGAGACAGGCCCUCGGGCCUGCCCUGAGCAAGCCCGGCGUCAGCCGGGUGAGCCGAAGGGUAAGGGUGAAAAGGUGCGGUAAGAGCGCACCGCGUUCGCCGUAAGGUGGAUGGCAGGCUAAACCCCGCACGGAGCAAGACCAAAUAGGGAAGCGUUAUCAGGACGGCCCGUCCGAAGCUUCCGGGUAGGUCGCUGGAUCCUGCCAGCAAUGGCGGGGCUAGAGGAAUGGUCGUCACCCAGUUCCGCGCCCUCGGGCGUAGCGCCGGGAACAGAAUUCGGCUUAUCGUUCCUCUGCGGCG
rnacentral:RNase_P_RNA from 2 species